UCCGCCGUCUUGCUCCCUAACCACAUUUCUCUUCUUUCUAUAGUAAACUCUUAAAAUUUCAGUGAGAAAACCUCUAUCUCAUGUAAAUACAUCCAUUGGAAUAUUUUCUUUCAUUACUUUAUCAUGUGAUGAGAAUAAAAGAUGCCAGUAUGUACAAGUGAACAGUAUUCGUUUUAAUAUAUACUUUAUAUAUACUAUGUAAGUAAUGUAUCAUUUGUAUACAUGUUAUUGUAUAUGUGUAACUUCUUUAUACUAGCAGAUAUGCACCUCAUGAAGAAAAUGUUUUAACAGUGUAUGUUUGCCUUGAUAAACUUCAUGUUUAAAUAAUCCACUAAACUCUUUUGCUUCUUAGUGUUUAUAAUUAAACACAAUUAUAAUGAAUUGUUGCAAAAUAGAGCAGUCUUUUCUUUUUGUGUCAGAAUAGAGCUGUGAUGUUAAAAAUCAAGAGGAUGAUUUGCUUAGGUUCUUGAGGCCAUGGACCAAAGAUGCCAUAGUCGUUAUGUCCAGAUUUAAGCACAUUUAUUUCAACUAUUCAUUUAUUCAACCUAUAUUAUAAUUUUUAGAGAAACUAGAUACAAGGCAUUAUUCUGAUGGCAGUGAAAGAAGCAGAAAGGCCUAGAAGAAAGGUGUAUUUUGCCUGUGUGUGUAUCUAUCUUGACUGGGAAAAAAUGUUGCAAAGAGGCAUGAGUAGUCAGGUCUGGACUUCAUGUUCUUCCCACAUUUACUUAAGUUAAGUGUUUACUUGAGUUUCUAUAGUUCUCAGCCUUUUCGAAGAUGUGUCCAUGCACCAGCUUCCAGAUUAGCUAUUGCAAGUUUGUUAACCAAACAGACUCUUUUUCCUAUUCCUGUGUUGACGCUUGCCUUAUCUCUUUCUUCUAACUUCUUUGGUCUCUAAAAGAAAAAUUAUUUAGAGAGUUUGCCUCCUAUAGUUGUAGCUGAAGAAUUAAGGGAAAUAGAUUGUAUUUAACAGUCAAGCCACAAACAGUAGAGAAAGUAUUUACUGUGAUGUUGCCAUAUGGUUAUUUUAAGUAGUCAUUUAACAAUCUACUGUAAAAUGAUUUUUCUUUUAUGGUGGCCACAUAAAUAGUUUAAAUGAGAGAAAUGCUAAAAAGCAUCAUUAGCUGUGACCACAGGAAGAUGUGCUUUGAGUGUAACUGUUUUCUCUCCUCCCCCCCUCCUCACCUCCAUUUGCACAGCAUCCGCCUGGGAAUUUUUCUCCGGAGAUACCCCAUAGCACGAGUUUUUGUAAUUAUAUAUAUGGCUUUGCUUCACCUCUGGGUCAUGAUUGUUCUAUUGACUUAUACACCAGAAAUGCACCAUGACCAACCACAUGGCAAAUGAACUGAGCCCAGUUACUUCAGUGAUUGGUUGUCUUUUUUCAGACUUGGGAUCUGCAAAAGGACCCGUUGGCUGAAAUUACUGAGAAUGGUGCACAAGGUUAUUUCAUCACUACAACCUUUUAACUCGUUAAGUUAUUAUACAAGUACUCUGCUACCUAAAUCUUCCUCUCAUUGCCUUCAAAUGGUAAGAGUUUCUAAAACAGACAGACAAUAAUUUAAUAAGCUCAGCUCUGCUUUUUCUGAAGUCAGAGGUUCAGUGUAUAUUUGUAUACACAUAGACCUGCUGGGUUUGUUCACCUCUGUACAGACCAUCCUAUUAUAGGUGACACACAUUAUGGGUUAUAAUCAGGGAAACUAAUUGUAUUUAGUGAUACAAAUAAAAUGUUUUCUUUUUGAUAA